rfam:Lactobacillus equigenerosi DSM 18793 = JCM 14505 strain DSM 18793 NODE_32, whole genome shotgun sequence.
UUUACCUUUAACUUUAGUCCCGUGAGGCUAAGAAGGUACUGUUCAAAUUCGUACACUAUCGAAGUGUAUGCUAAUUUUGUACUACCGUCUUGGCCUAAGUGCCAAGACGGUUUUGUUUUU